rnacentral:lncRNA from 1 species
AGCAGGCCUCCUUCCCUUGUUAAAGGUGGCACUUUGUGGAUACCCAUGGAUCUUGAAGCACUUAUCAAUUAAGUGUCCAGAUUUUUUACAGUGUCUACAAAAUAAAGGUCCCCUGGCUUGGUCAAAAUUGACUCUCUGUUGGUCAAGAUUGACUCUCUGUCUAAAAGGAGGAGGAGGAACAAACACUGUGGUCUUAUUAAAUCCAACAGGCUGCCUGUUUGUAUGUACAUUGAAAGAGACAGAGGCUGGAUCAAAGUGAGAGGAAGACUGAACUUGUCUUUGCUUCUCAUCAUUGAN